AAAGGAAUAGACGGGGGCCCGCACAAGCGGAGGAGCAUGUGGUUUAAUUCGAUGAUACGCGAGGAACCUUACCAGGGCUUGAAAGUUAGUGAAUGAUGUGGAAACAUGUCAGCCAGCAAUGGCACGAAACUAGGUGCUGCAUGGCUGUCGUCAGCUCGUGCCGUGAGGUGUUAGGUUAAGUCCUGCAACGAGCGCAACCCCUAUCAUUAGUUGCCAGCGAGUCAUGUCGGGGACUCUAAUGAGACUGCCUGCGCAAGCAGUGAGGAAGGUGGGGAUGACGUCAAGUCAUCACGGCCCUUACGUCCUGGGCUACACACGUGCUACAAUGGCUAAUACAAUGGGUUGCUAUGUGGUAACACAAUGCUAAUCUCUAAAAUUGGUCUCAGUUCGGAUUGAGGUCUGCAACUCGACCUCAUGAAGCUGGAUUCGCUAGUAAUCGUAGAUCAGCAAUGCUACGGUGAAUACGUUCCCGGGCCUUGUACACACCGCCCGU
rnacentral:rRNA from 1 species